rnacentral:lncRNA from 1 species
UUUGUUAGUGGGAGUUAAGCUGAAAGCUGCGCUCGUCUACGUCUCACCUGGGAAAAAUAUGGGAAUCGAGCAAUCCAAGAGCGAAGAGCUGAACAAGGAUGGGUCAGUUCCUGAGGUGCAUGAAAAUGGAUCAGUGAAUGGCAUCACAGCAAGUAUCACACCCAAUGGACUGAAGGCAGAUGUCAAAAGUGAGGUCACUGUCCAACAAAAUGGCAAGCCCCUCUCUUUGAGCCUGUCCACAGAAUCAUCUGGGCCCGAUGGUGUGGUGGUCCAAACCAACACUGAACCUGUGGAGGCUCAGGUCGUCACUGAAAUCCCUGAGACCGUCAACCUGAAGGAGGAGAUCAAGAAGGAAAAAGUCAAGGCCUUUGGUAACAUAUUUAAAAAGAAAGCAGCUGGUGCCAAGAACCUUCAGAAACAAGCUGCCUCAGACGAAGAACUCACGAACGUCGUUGAUCCACAGUUUGAGGCAGGCCAGCAGCAACAACCUGAAUCCUCAUCAACGGAGCCGCUAAGCGCGAGCGCAGCCGCCGAAGAAGCCGACAACGGCAGCAGCCAACCUCAGGAAGAGCAGGAGCAGAGCGACCCCGCGGAGAUUUCAGUUAUGAACUUCUUCAAAACACUAGUGGCUCCCACUAAAACGUCUAAAAAGGAAACCGCUACUCCUGAUGCCUCAAAAGAUCAGUCGCAGAAGGAGACCCAACAAGCAGCAGCCAUUACUGUUGCUCAGGUAUCUGAACCACCUGCAGCACCCAAAGGAAUGUCUAUUCCACCACCACCUCCACCAGAGCCACCGAAAAUGGAAAUCAAAGGCGAACUCGCUGCCAAGUCUGCAAAGCCUGCUCCGAAGGAGGAACCAAAGGCUGCUGCAAAGGAACCCGCGUCUUCGAAGGCAAAGUCAGCCAAGAAUUCAUUCAGCAAAUUGUUCCGCCCAAAGAGGUUAGAUCCCUCAAAAACUAGCACCCUCGAGGCUGUUGCGAAGCCAGAACCACCACCACCGGCUCAGGAAGAAAAGAAACCGGCUUCAAAAUCACCCUUCGAUCUCUUCAAGCCUAAAACCGGGCCCAAGAAAGCAGCCUCUGCCCCGACUGCAGCGGCUGAAGCGGCCCAACCUGCUAAAGCCAAGGAGGAACCAAAGACUGUGGCCAAGUCCUCUGAGGCAGUUGUAGAAAACAAACAACCUGCAGCGGUCGUUCAAGCUGGAGACACUGGAGCCAGCGUGCCCAAAAAACUGGAGAAGAGGAACUCGAUCCAGCUGUUCUUUAAAAACCUGGUAAACAGAGCAUUGUUUCCUUUCAUAUGGCUUCAUGCAUCCUCCAGAUGGCAGCACAACUCAUUACAACUGAUGCUGAUGUGGUGA